UACGGAGGAUGCAAGCGUUAUCCGGAUUUAUAGGGUUUAAAGGGUGCGCAGGUUGUUUGAUAAGUCAGUGGUGAAAGUCUGUCGCUUAACGGUAGGAUUGCCAUUGAUACUGUUAGACUUGAAUAUGGAUGAGGUAGGCGGAAUGUGUAGUGUAGCGGUGAAAUGCAUAGAUAUUACACAGAACACCGAUUGCGAAGGCAGCUUACUAAUCCAUCAUUGACGCUGAGGCACGAAAGCGUGGGGAUCAAACAGGA
rnacentral:rRNA from 1 species